UUAUCUGUGGUUGUGUGGAAAGGAAUUUGUUAGGGUUGAAGUGUUGAUUUGGAGGAAAAUGAAUCUAAGGCUUUAUGGGUAAAAUCUUAGAGUUAGGUUUUAGUUAUAUUGAUGAAUGUUUCGUGGAAAAUGAAUUUAAACUCAUUUAUGUAUGAUUUUGAGUAAAUGAAACUUGUUGUGUUUGAGUGGUGGAUUGUGUUGAUUUGUGUUCGUCGUAUUUGACGUGUU
rnacentral:lncRNA from 1 species